UGUCAUGGUUAUUCCUGACAUGUAUCUGAAUGCUGGUGGUGUGACUGUGUCUUAUUUCGAGUGGUUGAAAAAUCUGAACCAUGUCAGUUAUGGCCGACUCACCUUCAAAUACGAGAGAGACUCCAACUACCACCUGCUCAUGUCGGUGCAGGAGAGUUUAGAGGGGAAGUUUGGGAAACAAGGAGGACCCAUCCCCAUUGUGCCCA